AUUGAACGCUGGCGGCAGGCCUAACACAUGCAAGUCGAACGAGUGGCGGACGGGUGAGUAAUGUCUGGGAAACUGCCUGAUGGAGGGGGAUAACUACUGGAAACGGUAGCUAAUACCGCAUACCAUCAGAUGUGCCCAGAUGGGAGUAGCUAGUGGGGGGGGUAACGGCUGACCAAGGCGACGAUCCCUAGCUGGGCUGAGAGGAUGCCGCGCCACACUGGAACUGAGACACGGUCCAGACUCCUACGUGAGGCAGCAGUGGGGAAUAUUGCAAAAUGGGCGAAAGCCUGAUGCAGCCAUGCCGCGUGUAUGAAGAAGGCCUUCGGGUUUUAAAGUACUUUCAGCGGGGAGGCGUUACCCGCAGAAGAAGCACCGGCUAACUCCGUGCCAGCAGCCGCGGUAAUAC
rnacentral:rRNA from 1 species